rnacentral:rRNA from 1 species
UACGAAGGGGGCUAGCGUUGUUCGGAAUUACUGGGCGUAAAGCGCACGUAGGCGGACAUUUAAGUCAGGGGUGAAAUCCCAGAGCUCAACUCUGGAACUGCCUUUGAUACUGGGUGUCUUGAGUAUGGAAGAGGUGAGUGGAAUUCCGAGUGUAGAGGUGAAAUUCGUAGAUAUUCGGAGGAACACCAGUGGCGAAGGCGGCUCACUGGUCCAAUACUGACGCUGAAGCUCGAAAGCUAGGGGAGCAAACGGG